CACUAUGCUCAGCCCUAAAAUUUGAUAGGCCCCUACGCCCCCUAUCCGCCCGGGUACUACGAGCAUCAGCUUGAAACCCAAAGGACUUGGCGGUGCUUCACAUCCGUCUAGAGGAGCCUGUUCUAGAACCGAUAACCCCCGUUAAACCUCACCCUCCCUUGUUAAUACCGCCUAUAUACCGCCGUCGUCAGCCUACCCUGUGAAGGCCCAGAAGUGAGCAAGAUUGGUAAGACCCAAAACGUCAGGUCGAGGUGUAGUGUAUGGGAGGGGAAGAAAUGGGCUACAUUUCCUAAUCCAGGAAAUACGAAUAAUGUACUGAAAUAAGCAUUAGAAGGUGGAUUUAGCAGUAAGCAGAAAAACAGAGUGUUUCGCUGAAGAUUCGGCAAUAAAGCACGUACACAUCGCCCGUCACUCUCCCCGAGCUAUCCUAACGAUUAAUACCUAAAAAGUCAUAUCUGCAAAGGGGAGGCAAGUCGUAA
rnacentral:rRNA from 1 species